UUAAGUUAUUAAGGGCGCACGGUGGAUGCCUUGGCACUAGAAGCCGAUGAAGGACGUUACUAACGACGAUAUGCUUUGGGGAGCUGUAAGUAAGCUUUGAUCCAGAGAUUUCCGAAUGGGGAAACCCAGCAUGAGUUAUGUCAUGUUAUCGAUAUGUGAAUACAUAGCAUAUCAGAAGGCACACCCGGAGAACUGAAACAUCUUAGUACCCGGAGGAAGAGAAAGAAAAUUCGAUUCCCUUAGUAGCGGCGAGCGAAACGGGAAGAGCCCAAACCAACAAGCUUGCUUGUUGGGGUUGUAGGACACUCUAUACGGAGUUACAAAGGACGACAUUAGACGAAUCAUCUGGAAAGAUGAAUCAAAGAAGGUAAUAAUCCUGUAGUCGAAAAUGUUGUCUCUCUUGAGUGGAUCCUGAGUACGACGGAGCACGUGAAAUUCCGUCGGAAUCUGGGAGGACCAUCUCCUAAGGCUAAAUACUCUCUAGUGACCGAUAGUGAACCAGUACCGUGAGGGAAAGGUGAAAAGCACCCCGGAAGGGGAGUGAAAUAGAACCUGAAACCGUGUGCUUACAAGUAGUCAGAGCCCGUUAAUGGGUGAUGGCGUGCCUUUUGUAGAAUGAACCGGCGAGUUACGAUUUGAUGCAAGGUUAAGCAGUAAAUGUGGAGCCGUAGCGAAAGCGAGUCUGAAUAGGGCGUUUAGUAUUUGGUCGUAGACCCGAAACCAGGUGAUCUACCCUUGGUCAGGUUGAAGUUCAGGUAACACUGAAUGGAGGACCGAACCGACUUACGUUGAAAAGUGAGCGGAUGAACUGAGGGUAGCGGAGAAAUUCCAAUCGAACCUGGAGAUAGCUGGUUCUCUCCGAAAUAGCUUUAGGGCUAGCCUCAAGUGAUGAUUAUUGGAGGUAGAGCACUGUUUGGACGAGGGGCCCCUCUCGGGUUACCGAAUUCAGACAAACUCCGAAUGCCAAUUAAUUUAACUUGGGAGUCAGAACAUGGGUGAUAAGGUCCGUGUUCGAAAGGGAAACAGCCCAGACCACCAGCUAAGGUCCCAAAAUAUAUGUUAAGUGGAAAAGGAUGUGGCGUUGCCCAGACAACUAGGAUGUUGGCUUAGAAGCAGCCAUCAUUUAAAGAGUGCGUAAUAGCUCACUAGUCGAGUGACACUGCGCCGAAAAUGUACCGGGGCUAAACAUAUUACCGAAGCUGUGGAUUGUCCUUUGGACAAUGGUAGGAGAGCGUUCUAAGGGCGUUGAAGCAUGAUCGUAAGGACAUGUGGAGCGCUUAGAAGUGAGAAUGCCGGUGUGAGUAGCGAAAGACGGGUGAGAAUCCCGUCCACCGAUUGACUAAGGUUUCCAGAGGAAGGCUCGUCCGCUCUGGGUUAGUCGGGUCCUAAGCUGAGGCCGACAGGCGUAGGCGAUGGAUAACAGGUUGAUAUUCCUGUACCACCUAUAAUCGUUUUAAUCGAUGGGGGGACGCAGUAGGAUAGGCGAAGCGUGCGAUUGGAUUGCACGUCUAAGCAGUAAGGCUGAGUAUUAGGCAAAUCCGGUACUCGUUAAGGCUGAGCUGUGAUGGGGAGAAGACAUUGUGUCUUCGAGUCGUUGAUUUCACACUGCCGAGAAAAGCCUCUAGAUAGAAAAUAGGUGCCCGUACCGCAAACCGACACAGGUAGUCAAGAUGAGAAUUCUAAGGUGAGCGAGCGAACUCUCGUUAAGGAACUCGGCAAAAUGACCCCGUAACUUCGGGAGAAGGGGUGCUCUUUAGGGUUAACGCCCAGAAGAGCCGCAGUGAAUAGGCCCAAGCGACUGUUUAUCAAAAACACAGGUCUCUGCUAAACCGUAAGGUGAUGUAUAGGGGCUGACGCCUGCCCGGUGCUGGAAGGUUAAGAGGAGUGGUUAGCUUCUGCGAAGCUACGAAUCGAAGCCCCAGUAAACGGCGGCCGUAACUAUAACGGUCCUAAGGUAGCGAAAUUCCUUGUCGGGUAAGUUCCGACCCGCACGAAAGGCGUAACGAUUUGGGCACUGUCUCAACGAGAGACUCGGUGAAAUCAUAGUACCUGUGAAGAUGCAGGUUACCCGCGACAGGACGGAAAGACCCCGUGGAGCUUUACUGUAGCCUGAUAUUGAAAUUCGGCACAGCUUGUACAGGAUAGGUAGGAGCCUUUGAAACGUGAGCGCUAGCUUACGUGGAGGCGCUGGUGGGAUACUACCCUAGCUGUGUUGGCUUUCUAACCCGCACCACUUAUCGUGGUGGGAGACAGUGUCAGGCGGGCAGUUUGACUGGGGCGGUCGCCUCCUAAAAGGUAACGGAGGCGCUCAAAGGUUCCCUCAGAAUGGUUGGAAAUCAUUCAUAGAGUGUAAAGGCAUAAGGGAGCUUGACUGCGAGACCUACAAGUCGAGCAGGGUCGAAAGACGGACUUAGUGAUCCGGUGGUUCCGCAUGGAAGGGCCAUUGCUCAACGGAUAAAAGCUACCCCGGGGAUAACAGGCUUAUCUCCCCCAAGAGUUCACAUCGACGGGGAGGUUUGGCACCUCGAUGUCGGCUCAUC
rnacentral:rRNA from 2 species